AAAUCAAUGGUGAAAGAAGAUGGGGUUUUGGUUUUGUCUGUUUGGAGUGAAACUGAGAAGGAAAAUUCAUGAGAAGGCGAUGAAGAUGCGGAAGAAGGAGAUGAGGAAGCUGGACUUUGUUCUUCAAGGAGGAGUGAGAAAGAGAGAUGAAGAGAGAUAAGAGAGAGAGACAAUAACCUUGCAGAUAUUGAGAAUUCAAAUUUGGCAAAGAAAGGCAAUAUCCUUUACACAAUUGGGAGUACUGUUCUUGGAUUCUUCAAAAAAAAGUGCAGGUUAACUCGGAGACUUGGGA